rnacentral:rRNA from 1 species
UUAGGAAUCUUGCCCAAUGGGGGAAACCCUGAGGCAGCGACGCCGCGUGGGGGACGACGGGCUUCGGCUUGUAAACCCCUUUUCACCGGGAAGAAAACUGACGGUACCGGUGGAAUCAGCCCCGGCUAACUACGUGCCAGCAGCCGCGGUAAUACGUAGGGGGCGAGCGUUGUCCGGAUUUACUGGGCGUAAAGGGCGCGCAGGUGGCUUGUUAGGUUCGUCGUUAAAGCCCGAGGCUUAACUUUGGGUGGUCGGCGGAGACCGGCGGGCUUGGAGGCUGGUAGAGGGAUGCGGAAUUCCCGGUGUAGUGGUGAAAUGCGUAGAGAUCGGGAGGAACACCAGAGGCGAAGGCGGCAUCCUGGGCCGGGCCUGACACUGAGGCGCGAAAGCGUGGGGAGCGAACCG